AUUGAACGCUGGCGGCAGGCCUAACACAUGCAAGUCGAGCGGAUGAAGGGAGCUUGCUCCUGGAUUCAGCGGCGGACGGGUGAGUAAUGCCUAGGAAUCUGCCUGGUAGUGGGGGAUAACGUCCGGAAACGGGCGCUAAUACCGCAUACGUCCUGAGGGAGAAAGUGGGGGAUCUUCGGACCUCACGCUAUCAGAUGAGCCUAGGUCGGAUUAGCUAGUUGGUGGGGUAAAGGCCUACCAAGGCGACGAUCCGUAACUGGUCUGAGAGGAUGAUCAGUCACACUGGAACUGAGACACGGUCCAGACUCCUACAGGAGGCAGCAGUGGGGAAUAUUGGACAAUGGGCGAAAGCCUGAUCCAGCCAUGCCGCGUGUGUGAAGAAGGUCUUCGGAUUGUAAAGCACUUUAAGUUGGGAGGAAGGGCAGUAAGUUAAUACCUUGCUGUUUUGACGUUACUAACAGAAUAAGCACCGGCUAACUUCGUG
rnacentral:rRNA from 1 species